rnacentral:misc_RNA from 1 species
UAGAUUGGCCGAAAGGCCGUGUCUUCAUCCACACACACCGUGAACAAACCAAGGUCUGGCAGUCAAACAUGGACUCUGCUCCACGUUGCCAGGCCCCACACACAAACAAGAUGUAAAGAAUGUAAACUAUCGUAACAAAAACA